rnacentral:rRNA from 1 species
GAUGAACGCUAGCGGCAGGCUUAAUACAUGCAAGUCGAGGGGCAGCGGGGAUAGCAAUAUCUGCCGGCGACCGGCAAACGGGUGCGGAACACGUACGCAACCUUCCCGGAACAGGUGAAUAGCCCUGCGAAAGUAGGAUUAAUACACCGUAUGAUAUUUUGGUGGCAUCACUUUGAUAUUAAAGGUAGCAAUACCGGUUCUGGAUGGGCGUGCGCCUGAUUAGGUAGUUGGGCGGGUAAUGGCCCACCAAGCCUUCGAUCAGUAACUGGUGUGAGAGCACGACCAGUCAC